UCAUCAAAUCCAACGGCUCAUAUAUCUCUACCCCGAUCGAACGAUCAAGAUCAGCUCCGCCUCUCUUCCGCAUGCCGAUCGCUCGUCACGGCUCCGUUUCCGCGCCUCCCCUGCCAACGCCCCGCGCACAUCACGCCCUCACCCCUCCCUGCCACAUCUUCAACCCCCAACUCACGCAUCGUCCCCCUCCUCUCUCCUGGACUCCCCAUCGUCGCCGUCGCCGCAUGCCGCUCCUCUCCCCACUCGCGGGAGAGGAACUCUCUCCAAACCCUAACCCUAACCUCCUCUCUCUCCACGAAUACGCGCUGCACGCUGUUGCGCGCUCCCCUCCCCACUCGCCGGUUCCUCCGCGUCUCACCUGAUCUCCACCUCGAAAUCCGCCGCCGGAGCAGCGUUGGGUCGUCGCCCUCGGUGGCUCAUGUCGCACUGUCGCCCACCUUCGCGCCGCCACCGGUCUCCUCCGCACGAACGAAGGAUGGCGCUUGACCGUGGAUGAGGAGCGGAUGUCCUGCUCAAUGAGAACUACUGUGGAUGCAGUUUUUCUUUCAGUUUUGGUGACUUCAGUGCUGCUAUUUUAUGAGAUUUUCCAUUGUUUGUGAUCAGUAAGCAAGCAU
rnacentral:lncRNA from 1 species